rnacentral:rRNA from 1 species
UACGUAGGGUGCAAGCGUUAAUCGGAAUUACUGGGCGUAAAGCGUGCGCAGGCGGUGAUGUAAGACAGGUGUGAAAUCCCCGGGCUUAACCUGGAGACUGCAUUUGUGACUGCAUCGCUGGAGUGCGGCAGAGGGGGAUGGAAUUCCGCGUGUAGCAGUGAAAUGCGUAGAUAUGCGGAGGAACACCGAUGGCGAAGGCAAUCCCCUGGGCCUGCACUGACGCUCAUGCACGAAAGCGUGGGGAGCAAACAGG